GAUGAACGCUGGCGGCGUGCUUAACACAUGCAAGUCGAGCGAUGAAGUUCCUUCGGGAAUGGAUUAGCGGCGGACGGGUGAGUAACACGUGGGUAACCUGCCUCAUAGAGGGGAAUAGCCUUUCGAAAGGAAGAUUAAUACCGCAUAAGAUUGUAGUACCGCAUGGUGCAGCAAUUAAAGGAGUAAUCCGCUAUGAGAUGGACCCGCGUCGCAUUAGCUAGUUGGUGAGGUAACGGCUCACCAAGGCGACGAUGCGUAGCCGACCUGAGAGGGUGAUCGGCCACAUUGGGACUGAGACACGGCCCAGACUCGUACGGGAGGCAGCAGUGGGGAAUAUUGCACAAUGGGGGAAACCCUGAUGCAGCAACGCCGCGUGAGUGAUGACGGUCUUCGGAUUGUAAAGCUCUGUCUUCAGGGACGAUAAUGACGGUACCUGAGGAGGAAGCCACGGCUAACUACGUGCCAGCCGCCGCCGUAA
rnacentral:rRNA from 1 species